rnacentral:rRNA from 1 species
AAUGGGGGGCAACCCUGAUGCAGCCAUGCCGCGUGUGUGAAGAAGGCCUUCGGGUUGUAAAGCACUUUCAGUUGUGAGGAAAGGUGCGUAGUUAAUACCUGCGUACUGUGACGUUAGCAACAGAAGAAGCACCGGCUAACUCCGUGCCAGCAGCCGCGGUAAUACGGAGGGUGCAAGCGUUAAUCGGAAUUACUGGGCGUAAAGCGCACGCAGGCGGUCUGUUAAGCUAGAAGUGAAAGCCCCGCGCUCA